AGCCCUGAGAAUUCUGGGAUUGCAAUGGUGGCGUACAGUAUGUUUUAAAUACGUUUGAAAUAUAUUUGGUCUACAUCAGGCUUCCGGCAAAGUUAAUAAUUUGUUUGAUAAAGGUAAACGACCUUCGUUUAUUCUGCUGGAGUAACUGGUAAACUCUACUAUAGCAGCAAGUUUUGUUUUGAUGAGCUUAUUCAGAUAUGGUAGUUCGUAUAACUUCUAGCUAACGUUAGCUGUGCUAGCUAAUUUACGGCUCUCUAAACUUCUUACUAACUUGCCAGUUAGCUGGCCGUGUCGUUUCGGUUGUUAUAUAAUUAUUGUGGUCAUUUUACAAGUAGUAGUAUGGGUUGGCCAUUUCGCCUUAGUCAUAGCUAACAUUAUAUUUUGCUGCUUAUGGUAUGUACAUGCUCGCGGUCUGCAAACUAACGACGCUGGCUAAGUUGUGAAGGCGGACUAGCUAGCUAGCAGAGCUAGUUAACGUUAGAAAUUAAGAAGCGAGUAACGUCUCGCUAGUUGGCAUUCACUGACCAUGCUCAGUUACUUGCGUCGACGUAUUUGCUGUUAGCUAAUGGGAAUUAUCCCACCGUGUAACGCUUGGCAGCGAACUAGCUAGCUAGCUAAUCAGUUUGAGCACUGCUUGUUGUGGUCUUAUUUAGCCAUCUAGCUAACUAAACAGCAGGCCACCAGCCAGACACGUCUUGGAUACUUAAAAAACGAACGUUAAUUAUACUUUCAGUGAGCUUGUUACAUAAAUCGUUGCUUUGGAAAAUGGACACAGGUAUAGCCUAUUAACUUUGCACGGGCCUUCUUAAAACAAUGUUUUUGUUUGUCAACUUUGACGGUUGAGUUGGAUAGUUGGGUGUAGUAGAUCAACUUUUGGAAGGCGAACUUUGUAGGUGUCACCUGGACGGGGGCUGUACUUCUAAUAAAUCUGUAAAGUUCGCAUUCUCGAUGGAAGGCGAGGCGAUGGAAGAUGAUGAUUCACUACAUCGGCUGGAGGGCAGCGACCCGGGCAUGCAGGUCGGGGGGCUAAUCGUAAAGAAGAAGAGCGCGGCCGCGGAGCCCCAUGUCUUCCGUGUUCCCACGCCGCGCACCUCUCUACUUGGUCUGGAUCUGCUGGCUAUGCAGAAACGCAAGGAGCGCGAGGCAGAAGAGGAAGACAAGAAGACGAAGAAGUCAAAGGUGUCCUCUUACCGGGACUGGGAUGAGGGUAGGGAAGACUCAGGAUCUGAUGAGGAGGAGGACAAAGAAGAGAGUGGGGGUGAUAGGAAGGAGAGAAAAUACCGCGUGACCGGCUCAGAAACGCCCUCUAACACUGGCGGAGUCAGCGAAGAGUUUCGGCGGAAACACCAGCAGAGGGAGAAAGAGCGACGUGAACACGGAGUCUAUGCCUCUUCCAAGGAGGAGAAGAAACGUGACAGAGAAAAGGACCGAGACAGAGAGAAGAACAGGGACAAGGACAAGGUCAAAGAACGGAGGAGUGAGAGAGGUUUGUAUGAGCACAGCGGCAGCCGGUCAGAGAGGGGGGAGCGGAGCGAGAGGGGGGAGCGCUCUCAGAGGGAAGGCUGGUCUGAGCGCAGCGGCCGGGGGUCCAGGAGAGAGGAGCCCGAGUCCCCCCGUCACCGCCCCAAAGACGCUCCGACGCCGUCUCGGUCCGGCUGGGACGAGGACGACAGCGGCUACUCCAGCUCCCGCCGGUCCCACUGGGAGUCCCCCUCCCCCGCCCCGUCCCCCUCGCACCGGGAGGCGGACCGUUCGGAGCGCAGCCAUCGCUCAGGGAGAGAGAGCGAGAGGAGGGAGAAGGACAGGUCUGUAAGGAGCCGGUAUCCUGAUGACACUCCACUGCCCACGCCCUCCUACAAGUACAACGAGUGGGCCAAUGACAGGAGGCACUUGGGCUCCACCCCCCGUCUGUCACGUGGGAAAGGUAAGAAGGAGGAAGGGGAAGAUGGCAUCGCCUUUGACAAUGAGGAUGAGAAGCAGCAGUGGGAGGAGGACCAGAAGCAAGCGGACAGAGACUGGUACAUGAUGGACGAAGGCUUCGAUGAGUUCCACAACCCGCUGACCUCCACCUCAGAGGAGUACGUGAAGAAAAGGGAGCAGAUCCUGCAGAAGCAGACGCAAAAGCGCAUCUCUGCCCAGAAGCGGCAGAUCAACGAGGACAAUGAGCGCUGGGAGACGAACCGCAUGCUGACCAGCGGGGUGGUGCAGAGGCUGGAGGUGGAUGAGGACUUUGAGGAGGACAAUGCCGCCAAGGUCCACCUGCUGGUCCACAACCUGGUCCCGCCCUUCCUGGACGGCAGGAUCGUCUUCACCAAGCAGCCCGAGCCAGUCAUCCCUGUGAAGGAUGCCACUUCUGACAUGGCCAUCAUCGCUCGCAAAGGCAGCCAGCUGGUCCGCAAGCACCGCGAGCAGAAGGAACGCAAGAAGGCUCAGCACAAGCACUGGGAGCUGGCGGGCACCAAGCUGGGUGACAUCAUGGGCAUCAAGAAGACCGAAGAAGAGGACGGAAAGCCGGGCAAACCCGUGGGCGAGGACGGCGCUGUGGACUACAAGGCCGAGCAGAAGUUUGCGGAUCACAUGAAAGAGAAGAGCGAGGCCAGCAGCGAGUUUGCCAAGAAGAAGACCCUGCUGGAGCAGAGGCAGUACCUGCCCAUCUUUGCUGUUCGGCAGGAGCUUCUCAACAUCAUCAGGGACAACAGCAUCGUGAUCGUGGUGGGCGAGACCGGCAGCGGGAAGACCACCCAGCUGACGCAGUACCUGCACGAGGACGGCUACACCAGCUACGGCAUGGUGGGCUGCACGCAGCCCCGCAGGGUAGCCGCCAUGAGCGUGGCCAAGCGAGUGAGCGAGGAGAUGGGCAACAACCUGGGGGAGGAGGUGGGCUACGCCAUCCGGUUUGAGGACUGCACCUCGGAGAAGACUAUGAUCAAGUACAUGACGGACGGGAUCCUGCUGAGGGAGUCCCUGCGGGAGUCGGACCUGGACCACUACAGCGCCGUCAUCAUGGACGAGGCCCACGAGCGCUCGCUCAACACGGACGUGCUGUUCGGCCUGCUCCGGGAGGUGGUGUCUAGGCGUUCAGACCUGAAGCUCAUUGUCACGUCUGCCACUAUGGACUCGGAUAAAUUUUCCGCAUUUUUCGGCAACGUUCCCAUAUUCCACAUUCCAGGAAGAACAUUCCCAGUGGACAUCCUGUUCAGCAAGACUCCUCAGGAAGACUACGUGGAGGCGGCGGUGAAGCAGGCCUUGCAGGUGCACCUGAGCGGCAUGCACGGGGACCUCCUCAUCUUCAUGCCGGGCCAGGAGGACAUCGAGGUAACCUCAGAUCAGAUAGUGGAGCGCCUGGAGGACCUGGAGAGUGCCCCUCCCCUGGCCGUGCUGCCCAUCUACUCCCAGCUGCCGUCCGACCUGCAGGCUAAGAUCUUCCAGAAGGCCCCAGACGGUGUGCGCAAAUGUAUUGUUGCCACAAACAUUGCUGAGACCUCCCUGACUGUGGAUGGGAUCAUGUUUGUUAUCGACGCCGGAUACUGCAAGCUCAAGGUGUUCAACCCUCGCAUCGGCAUGGAUGCCCUGCAGGUGUACCCCAUCAGCCAGGCUAACGCUAACCAGCGCUCAGGCAGAGCUGGGAGGACUGGGCCUGGGCAGUGCUACAGGCUGUACACUCAGAGUGCUUAUAAAAACGAGAUGCUGACCACCACCAUCCCGGAGAUCCAGAGGACCAACCUGGCCAACGUGGUGCUGCUGCUCAAGUCCCUGGGGGUCCAGGACCUGCUGCUCUUCCACUUCAUGGACCCGCCCCCAGAGGACAACAUGCUCAACUCCAUGUACCAGCUGUGGAUCCUGGGGGCCCUGGACAACACCGGUGGUCUUACCCCCACCGGCCGACUCAUGGUUGAGUUCCCCCUGGACCCAGCCCUGUCAAAGAUGCUGAUUGUGUCAUGUGACAUGGGCUGCAGUGCCGACAUCCUCAUCAUCGUCUCGAUGCUGUCUGUGCCCGCCAUCUUCUACAGGCCCAAGGGCCGUGAAGAGGAGAGCGACCAGGUGAGGGAGAAGUUCGCGGUGCCCGAGAGUGACCACCUGACCUACCUCAACGUUUACCUGCAGUGGAAGAACAACAACUACUCCAGUAUCUGGUGCAACGAGCAUUUCAUCCACACCAAGGCCAUGCGGAAGGUGCGGGAGGUGCGAGCCCAGCUGAAAGACAUCAUGGUCCAGCAGAGGCUGAAUCUGGUGUCCUGCGGCUCGGACUGGGACAUCAUCAGGAAGUGCAUCUGUGCCGCCUACUUCCACCAGGCCGCCAAGUUAAAGGGCAUCGGGGAGUAUGUGAACGUCAGGACAGGAAUGCCGUGUCACCUCCACCCUACCAGCUCUCUCUUUGGCAUGGGCUACACCCCAGAUUACAUCACCUACCAUGAACUGGUCAUGACCACCAAGGAGUACAUGCAGUGUGUAACAGCUGUGGAUGGGGAAUGGCUGGCGGAGUUGGGGCCCAUGUUCUACAGCAUCAAGCAUGCAGGGAAGAGCAGACAGGAGAACCGUCGGCGGGCGAAGGAAGAGAUCACCAUCAUGGAGGAGGAGAUGUCUCUGGCACAGCAGCAGCUGCGGUCCAGAAGGGAGGAGCAGGAGAGGAAGAGUAACCUGGGCAGCAUCAGGCCCUCGGCACUAGCCGUCGCCACGGAGAGAGACAAACGGCCAUUUUGUCCCCGUCCAUGGUCACAGCCACCACCCUUCCCAGCCUAAACCUUCAACCCUUGUGCGCUCCUCCUGGCCUGUGUGCUCAGUGUACGGGGGACUGCUGUGUGACAGAUCAGUGAAGAUCUGCACCCCGGGGAGGAAAGAAGAGGAGCCCAUGACCCCAAAGCGCACGCCCUCGCGAUUCGGACUGUAAAUCUCGCCCACAUCGCGUGUAACACGCUCACGGAAAUGCAGGGCACUGAUGGACUGUAACUGUACUUAAAAUUGUCACGCCCCCCCCUGGAACUAGCCAAAUUCAACACUAUAAUAAUGUGAACAAAUAAAUAUUGAAAGGUCUGCCUUGUUGUCCGAAGUGUUGUGAAGAUUGUAAUGCACAGGCUUAGCCAGUAGAGGGAGCACAUGUAUAAGGCAGGAGCACCUGGCUGAUUCUUUCCUCCAGCUGAAUUAAAUCAUAUCUGUUUUCAUCAGUGAGCAACAACAUAACAUUUCAGCAUGCACCAUUUUGAACCCCUGUGAUAUGGAGAGAAAUAUUUAAAAUGAAGGCAAUAUGAAUGUUUUUUUUUUUUUGCUUUAAGACCAGGAAAGGAAGUGUUUAAAUUCAGCCGUGUUUACUGUUGUUCUAUACUGCGCUUGAUUUCCUUACUCUCUGUACUCCUACCCCUGGUUCCAGAAUGACUGGGGACCAUCUUAAAGAGCGGCAGUUUUUGUCAGCCACUGAAAUGUAUUUUUUUUUCUAUUGCGGUGUGAGUGCUGGGUUUGGUAUUAUUAGGAUUAGUGUUAUUAAAUGCAUAUUUUUAAUGACGACAGCAGAGCUGUUGUUUAGCACAUACAGUCAGCCUCUUUGUCUCAGUCUUGCAUCUUGUUGGUAGAAAUGCCACUGUCAGAGGGCUAGUCAAAUACACAUUUUUUUGUGUUCCGAGUACAGCACAGUGCAUUCUGUGCCAAAAUGUAUUCGUCGGUGAGCGGUGUGUAACAGGUAGAGGACGGUGAAAUUGUUCUGUGGUAUGCUGCUGUAUCAGAAAUAUCUCUGAAUCUGCGCUUUGGCUUCUUUGUUUAUGUUGUUCAUUUCCUCUUAGAAAAUGGCAACAGUUUUUAAAAUGGGGAGACUCACUGAUCUUUAAUGUGCUGUCAUGUAGCAAUCAAUGGGGGAACAAAAACCCUUCCCUGAAAUGUGUUGUUGAAGCAUUUUGUAAGUUACACAAGUAUCCAAGGUAUAUCCAUCUAUGAGGGAAUUAAAUUUGUUCACAAGAUCGUCGGCUGAUCAUCAGUGUAUUUAAUUUGAGCCGUUCCGUACUCCAGCUCCAUGGCAGUACAUUAGCAAGAAUGCUCGGUCCUCUCUUAAAUACCUGAGCUUUAAAUAUGGGUUUGUGAAUUUGAUACAAAGGCUUCAGUCCCAGCGGUUCGGUGAAAGUCGAGCUGAACCUACCAUAUUCCAUUGUGUCGGGUGUGUGUGUCUCUGUCUCUGUGUCCUUCCUGGGCAGCAUCCUAUUGAAACUCUCAAGGUUCCCAGUCCUCUCUGCAUGUGUAUUAUCAACAGGAGGCAUUAUCGGAAUAUGGAACAAUAGCAAAUGUUUUAUUGUCCGUACCUUCUGAAUUGUCACUCGCAUUCUGUGGGUUGGCACUUGACAGGGACUUUUUGUGACUUGAUGUAUUUUUUUAUUUUUUAUUUUUUUAUUUUUUUUGCACGUAACUGUAAUUGUAGGCUGUGCCGUCGGAGGAAUGCCACUGGUAUAAGAACGACUAGAUGGUUUUUCUGGUUUUCUGCUCAGAUUUUGGCCACCAAUUAAAAAAAGCGCUUGUUUUUGUAA